rnacentral:rRNA from 1 species
CACGCCGUAAACGAUGUCUGCUAGCCGUGGGGAUCCUUGAGGUCUCGGUGGCGCAGCUAACGCGAUAAGCAGACCGCCUGGGGAGUACGGCCGCAAGGUUAAAACUCAAAUGAAUUGACGGGGCCGCACAAGCGGUGGAGCAUGUGGUUUAACUCGAUGCAACGCGAAGAACCUUACCAGGUCUUGACAUCCAGCGAACCCUGCAGAGAUGCGGGGGUGGCCUUCGGGAGCGCUGAGACAGGUGGCUGCAUGGCUGUCGUCAGCUCGUGUCGUGAGAUGUUGGGUUAAGUCCCGUAACGAGCGCAACCCUUGUCCUUAGUUGCCAGCGGUCCGGCCGGGCACUCUAGGGAGACUGCCGGUGACAAACCG